GGUAGCAGAAGCGCACCACCUUGCACUCAAUCUCGCAUUGUGAUUUUAUGUUCUGGUUUGCCAACGGGCUAUAAAAUUUUAGGGGCGAACACACACUACACUUUCUAGUUUCCGAAUACAAAUGGUCGGCAUGUCUUUGCUCCUGGCAGAUCUUGUUAUCGAUAUGGAAGUGAUUUUAUCGAUGCUGGUAGGUUUGCCUCUAUCUAUGGUGCUGGCGAAUCAAUCCGUGGUGGGCUGAACUGGUGGAAUCUCAACCAUGCAAUCAUGGUAUUCCAUAAGGUCACGUUUCUUAGAGGCAUUCUAUCAAACAAAGAAAUUACCUUGCCUAUGCUUUCACAUGUUGCAUUACAAGAGCAUAUCAAACUAUCAUUUCUGUCAAAUAUCCCUCUUCUAUCAUACUUUGAUGGAUGUCUAUACCGUGUUCCAAAGAUCUCCCAUUUUAGCAAACACGGUGAGGAUCUUGGUAAAGGUUCUGGAAUUUGGUUGUACACUUCCAAUUGUAUUUGGCUGAAAGUUUCUAAAGCCUUUUCAACAAAUCCAUUUUGUGCAUAUCUUGCAGUCAUUCCAUUCCAUGAGAUGACAUCUCCUCUAGGCGUUGUGUCAAACAGUUGACAUGCAUUCCGACUCCAGAAAUAUUUAAAUGAUAUCCUAUUCCUAUGAGAGGGCCAUAUAGUCAACCAUGGACCUCGCGGAGUGUACUGGAGCUUUUUUGAAAGCUAUGGAUUCAAAUGCCUGAGAGAGAGAGAGAGCACUACAGAUUUCUUACAUGAGGUCACAUCAAAGGAGGACCAAGAACAUUAGUGGGAAGACACGAGAUCACCAUAUUAGUAUGUACAUGUGAAGUAAUUUGUAUCUAGAUUCAAGCAAUUUCAUAAAGGUUUGUGGUUGGAAAUUGAACUGUCAAGUUAUUAGCA